CUCAGCUAUUCUUGCGACUUCUCCACGUGGCAGAUUCAGAAAGCGGGAGCAGGCACCGUACGAACGUAGGAAGCACCUAAGACGCUAAUUAACAAAACGAAAACCGGUUUCCCGCUAAAACUAAAACACACGCUUUAAUUAGCGAUUAAUUAGGAAUUAGUGGUGUUACCUUUCUUAACGCUUCUUCGAGAUUAAGCCAAAUAUCUCUUACGUGUCGUCAACCAACUUCAGCUCUUCUCCCUGUCCGACACAUGGCAUUUGUCUUUCCUCUUUCUUCUCUCUUUUUCUUCCUCUCCGCAGUCCCUAGACGUCUGAAAUCCAAAACACAACACAUCAAAUAGAAAAGAAAUACUAGAACUUGUGAAACAUCUUCGUGGGUGCCAUAUGGAAAGCCUAGCUUGAAGUGUUUUUUAAGGUUGCUGAUUUGCUGUUUCAAUGGGAAGUGACGAUUGUGCAAUGGUGACAAAAACAGCUUUGAAAGAAGAAGAGAUAGAGCUAGAGCUAGAGCUUGGAUUGUCCAUAGGAGGGAGAUACAAAAGACAAAACGGUACCAAUUCGAUAUCUGAUACUACUGUUGAUAUGGGUUCAAAAGAAAAGCAUCCAAGUUGCCCAAGAUCUAGCGUGUCUCGUUGUUUUAAUGGAGACAUUGUGCAGGAAAUAGAUCCCAAGACAAAGCGUGAGAUUCAUGCGUUGAGGAGACAGGAGGCGAAGAAGAAGAGAGAAGAGAAGCAGCUAAGGAAAGGUUUUUGUAAAGGGUACUUGAACGGCGGUCAACAAAUUAAUGGAGAGAUUAAUGUUAAUAAUAACAAUGGGAUGUGGUUAAAGGCGAAAGCUUUUCAAGCUAAGGAGAGAGUGGCUGACACGGAAGAGCGACAAUGCAAGAAAAGCAAGACAUAUGAUAUUGGAUCUGAUCACAAUGACACAAAGAAGGUGAAUCUGAACUUAUGCGUCGAUCAAAACCAUUGUACUUCUUAUCCACCGCCAUCUACUUUGUCGCCAGUGCACCCGGUUCUGCCGCUGCAGUACCCACAGCCGUCGUUACAAUAUGGCCAGCCUGAGAAUGGAUUUGUGUUCCCUUGUGCGAAUGUGAAUGUCAUGCCUUGUUGGUUCACAGGUGGGGAUGAGAAGAAUGUGGGUCAGGUUCAACCUUUGGUUGGCUACGGCUUUGUGCCAUUUCAGGCUGCGUCGAUUCAAGGUCAUAAUCUGGGUAAUGGGUAUGAGUCGGAGCAGAAUGGCAGCCGAGAUGGAGGGAAGAGGAAAGCUGGGUCGAACGGGUCCGCCACUUGUACCUCCUCUACGGGUUCCGAUCACAGGAGCUUUUCUCACGAAGGUAUUUGUAUUUCCCACAGAAAACAUGAUAAAAGUUAAAUUUUUUAGAUAACUAGAGAACUAAUUUUCAAUUUUGUAUUUGAAAAACUUUUACAUUUAAAUACUAUAAUCAACUCUACUAGUUCUCUCCUUUUCGUGUAAGGUUUAUAUGAUUUGGUUUAAGAAUUAGACAGAGUAGGACUUGAAAAGAAAACUUAAUCUUCUUAAAAAUUGAAUUUAUGUAGGCGAAUCUAUCAAUCUGCUUAUUGAUUUCAAGCUCUAGACUUAACUGGAUAUAAUUAUGGAAAGUUUAAUCUUUUCCUUGGGUAAGACUAUAUAUUAAUAUCAGAUAUUUUGCAGGAGGUGGCAGAAGCGACAUCAGAAGCCAUUCAAGUCCCUUUGAACCAGAAAAACCUCAAUUGAAUUGUUCAAUUGUAAAUGAUGUGAAGGGCUCGUUUGAACACAGUGCAACAUCUCUCCUCACGGAUAAUUGUGCUCAAGUUAAUGAUCCAUCAAAUCACGUUGAGAAAAUGAUUCAAUUCAAUAGUCCUCAAUCCAGCCCAACAGGACCCAACGAAGAAGCCGAAUUAGAAACAGAACUAGAUCUUAGCAACAGCCACAUAUCAACUCCUGAAAGCCCAACGAUGGCGGAAAACAAAGGGGACGUGGUGGGCAAGUCGCCUAAGCCACCAGCCCAGAAUCACAGUACCCAUAUUUCUUCCUUACCUUACAUGCCGUGUGUUUCAACGACAGGAAACAGUCCAAAUGGGAAAACCAUUAAUGGGUUUCUGUAUAGAUACACAAAAACAGAGGUUAGCAUCAUUUGUGUCUGCCAUGGAACGUCGUUUUCACCGGCGGAGUUCGUGCAACAUGCUGGGGGUACAGAUGUUUCACACCCUCUAAGGCACAUUACUGUGAUUCCAUCACCUCUUUGACAUCACAUUGCGGGUAGUGAUAUUUAACGGAUCCCUUGCGAUGAAUAUAUAUCGAGUUACAUGAGCUCUUCCUGGCAAAUGGUAGGAGGAGGCUCGUUUUUGCUUUUUAGCUUGAACUUUCUAACUGAAUUAACAGACACUGGAUUGUGGAUGUAUAUUUGAUAUCUCGCUUCUGGAGCCACAAUCAUUUGUACGUUUUAAAUUUCCGGCUUUGUAGUUUGUAGGUGGAGGUUGCCCUGGUCUGAUUCGGCAUGAGAUUAUAAUUAAAUAGGUCCGAUUCAGAAUUAAAAUUAAAUUGAAAUCAAUCAUAUUUGAAUCGUGG
rnacentral:misc_RNA from 1 species